rnacentral:rRNA from 1 species
GAGGAAAGAAACUAACAAGGAUUCCCCUAGUAACUGCGAGUGAAGCGGGAAAAGCUCAAAUUUAAAAUCCCUCGGGAAUUGUAAUCUAGAGAAGUGUUUUCGGUCGUUGCCUCGGACAAGUCCUUUGGAACAAGGCGUCAUAGAGGGUGAGAAUCCCGUCCUUGCCGAGCUACCAACGUCUAUGUGAUACACUCUCGAAGAGUCGAGUUGUUUGGGAAUGCAGCUCAAAAUGGGUGGUAAACUCCAUCUAAAGCUAAAUAUUGGCGAGAGACCGAUAGCGAACAAGUACCGUGAGGGAAAGAUGAAAAGCACUUUGGACAGAGAGUUAAACAGUACGUGAAAUUGUUGAAAGGGAAACGCUUGAAGUCAGUCGCGUUGCAGGGACUCAGCCGCAAGGUGCAUUUCUCGGUGACGGGUCAACAUCAGUUUCGAGCGCGGGAAAAGGGCUUGGGGAAUGUGGCAGCCUCGGCUGUGUUAUAGCCCCCUGUCGUACACCGCGCCCGGGACUGAGGACCGCUAAUAGGAUGUUGACGUAAUGGCUUUAAGCGACCC